AACAAAUAAAAAGUAAAUCAAAUCAAACAAGAAAAUUAAUAAUAAUAAACAAAAAAAAUUAAAAAGAAAAAAAAAUUAAAGAACCAAGGAUGAAACUGGAAACGGACUAGAAUCUGGGGGCUGAAACUGUAAAUAAAUAAGAGGCAUUAAGGGCCAAGGUAGAACGCGCUUUAAUAGUGAGGGACUGAUUGGGAAAAUAUUCCCAGCCCUCAGGCGCUGCGUUUCAGCGCAGAUUAAAAUGAAACGCAUGAAUGCGCAGAUCUCCCUCCUUCAAACGGCGCCGCUUUGCAAUCACUAUAACAGCUAAAAAAGUUUCCUUUUGUUUAGUUGUUUCAAAAUAUUUUACAGAGAACAGAAAUUUAAAAGGGGUUUCCCCUUUCUCUGCUAGGGUUUCAGCCUAGCAUAGGAACCCAGUCGUCGGACCACUGCUCCCCAUCGCGGCGGCCGGAGUCAUGCGAGGGCGCCGCCCAUCAGCACGUUGAAGCGCGUUCAGAGAUCAAGGCCCUAAAACAGGGAAACGAGGAGAAAAAGGAAAGCCUCUGCCCCUUCCUAAACCCGCGUUCGGCGACGGUGAAGGGCCGAUGAUGACGUCGGAUUCAGGAGCCGAUUCAAGUGUCAGAGGCGUGGAGGAGCGGUGAUAGGCGAGCCUUGGGCGGAGGCAGCGUGCGAGGAACUGGAGCGGCGCACAUGGGCAGAGUGUGGCGCACCCUAGGGUUCCCCAUCCCUUGCUGCUGAAAGUUUUUUUUGUGGGCUAGGUUUUUUUAAUUUUUUUGGGCCUGUUGGGUUUAUUUAAUUUUGGGCAUGGUUUUGUUUGGGUCAUAUUGGGCUCUGGGCAGAAAUUGGGCCUUACAAUCACAAGGGCGAUUUAUUCGUUACAAGGAAAGCUUGGCUUCAUUGCCAAUUUGAGAGGCGACAAGAGGUAUCUUCACGUGGACAAUUUAUUUCUUGGUUUAGUAAACAAAAUAGUUGUGUUGUUUUUGAAUAAUGAAUUUAAAUUUACAAAUAGGAUUAGUCAUUUUAGUC